rnacentral:lncRNA from 1 species
GAAGAUGGACACCGAUUUUUUACUUGAUUUUCCCUUUUAUUCUUUUAUUUACCAAAUGACAAAAAUACCCCAAAAGCCUUUCUUUAAAAUUUUACCUAAACAUGUCCAUUUUUGUCCAUUAACUUAACAAAUGGUCUAAUUAUCAUAUAAGGACCUCUAAGUUAAAAUCUCAUAGCAAUUUGGCACCUUUAACAUCUAGAAUUCAAGUCUUGCACUUUUUAUAAUUUAGUCCUUAAAACUAAAUUAAGUGACCAAACGUUGAAAUUUUCGAAUAAGAUUUUCACAGAAUUUAGGUGCAUGUUUC